UGGGGAAUCUUGGACAAUGGGCGCAAGCCUGAUCCAGCCAUGCCGCGUGAAUGAUGAAGGCCUUAGGGUUGUAAAAUUCUUUCAGCGGGGAAGAUAAUGACGGUACCCGCAGAAGAAGCCCCGGCUAACUCCGUGCCAGCAGCCGCGGUAAUACGGAGGGGGCUAGCGUUGUUCGGAAUUACUGGGCGUAAAGCGGGUGUAGGCGGAUAUUUAAGUCGGGGGUGAAAUCCCAGGGCUCAACCCUGGAACUGCCCUCGAAACUGGAUGUCUCGAGUUCGGGAGAGGUGUGUGGAAUUCCGAGUGUAGAGGUGAAAUUCGUAGAUAUUCGGAGGAACACCAGAGGCGAAGGCGACACACUGGACCGAUACUGACGCUGAGACCCGAAAGCGUGGGGAGCAAACAGGAUUAGAUACCCCCGUAGUCC
rnacentral:rRNA from 1 species